AGGGCCCCUUUUUCGGGGGGGUACACGAGCGGCGAACGGGUGAGUAACACGUGGGUAACCUGCCCUGUACUCUGGGAUAAGCCCGGGAAACUGGGUCUAAUACCGGAUAUGACCCCUGAUCGCAUGUUCUGGGGUGGAAAGUUCCGGCGGUACGGGAUGGACCCGCGGCCUAUCAGCUUGUUGGUGGGGUAAUGGCCUACCAAGGCGACGACGGGUAGCCGGCCUGAGAGGGUGAUCGGCCACACUGGGACUGAGACACGGCCCAGACUCCUACGGGAGGCAGCAGUGGGGAAUAUUGCACAAUGGGCGAAAGCCUGAUGCAGCGACGCCGCGUGAGGGAUGACGGCCUUCGGGUUGUAAACCUCUUUCAGCAGGGACGAAGCGUGAGUGACGGUACCUGCAGAAGAAGCACCGGCUAACUACGUGCCAGCAGCCGCGGUAAUACGUAGGGUGCGAGCGUUGUCCGGAAAUAUUGGGCGUAUACAGCUCGUAGGCGGUUUGUCGCGUCGGCCGUGAAAACUUGGGGCUUAUCCCCCAUCCUGCGGGGCGAUAACAGG
rnacentral:rRNA from 1 species